rnacentral:rRNA from 1 species
UACGAAGGGGGCUAGCGUUGUUCGGAAUUACUGGGCGUAAAGGGCGCGUAGGCGGCUGUGCAAGUCAGAUGUGAAAGCCCUGGGCUCAACCCAGGAUGUGCAUUUGAUACUGCGCGGCUAGAGUGUCGGAGAGGAUGGUGGAAUUCCCAGUGUAGAGGUGAAAUUCGUAGAUAUUCGCAAGAACACCAGUGGCGAAGGCGGCUCACUGGCCCGGUACUGACGCUGAGGUGCGAAAGCGUGGGGAGCAAACAGG